ACCCCUACGGGGGGCAGCAGUGGGGAAUAUUGGACAAUGGGCGCAAGCCUGAUCCAGCAAUACCGCGUGUGUGAAGAAGGCCUUCGGGUUGUAAAGCACUUUCAGCGAGGAGGAAGGCCAAGUAGUUAAUACCUGCUUGGAUUGACGUUACUCGCAGAAGAAACCCCGGCUAACUCCGUGCCAGCAGCCGCGGUAA
rnacentral:rRNA from 1 species